AUGCUUUUUGAAGGGCGUUUUUACUCGUUUGGUGCUCUCAACACCUCCAUCCUAACCCUUCUCCCCAAGAAGGAGGACCCCUUGCAGAUAAGUGAUUUCAGGCCGAUCAAUCUGAUCCAUGGGGCGGCCAAUUUUUUUGCCAAAGCUUUGGCCACCAGGUUGGCCGCGCUUCUGCCCUCUCUCAUAUCCCAGGCCCAGAGCGCUUUCGUCUAGAAGAGGAGCAUACAUGAAAACUUCAAGUUUGUUCGCAAUGCGGCAAGGACACUCCAUCAGAAAAAGAAGCAAGCUGGCAUGAUGAAGAUCGAUGUUUCGAAGGCUUUCGAUACACUCUCAUGGAAUUUCCUGAUUGAGGUGCUUCGGGCCAGAGGUUUCAGUUAUCGGUGA
rnacentral:rRNA from 1 species